AUUGAACGCUGGCGGCAUGCCUUACACAUGCCAGUCGAACGGCAGCGCGGGAGCAAUCCUGGCGGCGAGUGGCGAACGGGUGAGUAAUACAUCGGAACGUGCCCAAUCGUGGGGGAUAACGCAGCGAAAGCUGUGCUAAUACCGCAUACGAUCUACGGAUGAAAGCAGGGGAUCGCAAGACCUUGCGCGAAUGGAGCGGCCGAUGGCAGAUUAGGUAGUUGGUGAGGUAAAGGCUCACCAAGCCUUCGAUCUGUAGCUGGUCUGAGAGGACGACCAGCCACACUGGGACUGAGACACGGCCCAGACUCCUACGGGAGGCAGCAGUGGGGAAUUUUGGACAAUGGGCGAAAGCCUGAUCCAGCCAUGCCGCGUGCAGGAUGAAGGCCUUCGGGUUGUAAACUGCUUUUGUACGGAACGAAACGGUCUUUUCUAAUAAAGAAGGCUAAUGACGGUACCGUAAGAAUAAGCACCGGCUAACUACGG
rnacentral:rRNA from 1 species